rnacentral:rRNA from 1 species
CAGGGAAUAUUGGACAAUGGGCGCAAGCCUGAUCCAGCCAUGCCGCGUGAGUGAAGAAGGCCCUCGGGUUGUAAAGCUCUUUUGUCCGGAAAGAAAAGCAUCGGGUUAAUACCCCGGUGUUCUGACGGUACCGGAAGAAUAAGCACCGGCUAACUUCGUGCCAGCAGCCGCGGUAAUACGAAGGGUGCAAGCGUUACUCGGAAUUACUGGGCGUAAAGCGUGCGUAGGUGGUUCGUUAAGUCUGAUGUGAAAGCCCUGGGCUCAACCUGGGAAUGGCAUUGGAAACUGGCGGACUGGAGUGCUGUAGAGGGUAGCGGAAUUCCCGGUGUAGCAGUGAAAUGCGUAGAGAUCGGGAGGAACAUCCGUGGCGAAGGCGGCUACCUGGACCAGCACUGACACUGAGGCACGAAAGCGUGGGGAGCAAA